rnacentral:misc_RNA from 1 species
GCUUAGUCCUGACAGCAGUGGAAAGCCUAUGCAGGUUUGAAACUACUUUUUUCUGGUGGUGGUAGAGCGACCAAAAGAAGCUCCUACCAGCGCCUAGAAAAAGGGUUUGUCACCAAAUAGCUUGAAGCGUAUGGCGGGGAUAGCU